AGUUGGGCCGUUCCUGAGGUGGGCAUUGGGCGGAUUAAUGGGGUGUAGGCCGGGGAGGGGGUGUCCGGAUUCCUGAGGCGGGGGUCCUGGGAUGCAGGCAGGGGUCGCCGUCGGAACUGACAAACCGGGACGGACCCCUGCAGUAUAACGUGACCGGACCCUGUGACGACGUGUCGGGUGUGACCGGGUAACUCUCCUCACUACCCGCCGACACCUCCCCCCCCAGGCGGAGCCGCAGCCUGCGGUGACACCCACAUGGCGGCCUCGGGCAGCUCAGAUAGCCAGUGAGGAGGAUGUAUCAUGCCGCAUUCGUUACCUCAGAGGUAGGCCGCAGGCGAGGAACUACAAGGCCCAGCACGCCUGUCAGGAAGAGACCCCAUAUCAGCUAUGCGUCUUUGUAGUUUCUCCCGUAUUUCAUGAGACUCUGCUGCUGACAUGGCAUGCUGGGUCUUGUAGUCCUACAGCUCCUAGAAACCCUCAUCUCAUGGUGGUUGUAGUAACAGCAGGACUAAAGAGAUCCCAUAUAUGAUGGGUAUAAUAUGCCAGCCCCUCGUACGCUGCGACAUCUCCGCUCACGUGACUGCACCCCCCGCUGUCCUCCUGUCGGGAGUAACACAAAAAGACGCUUGGGGCUACUAACUCGUGAGCAAGCCACGUAAAGCUGACCAUGGGAGAAGCAGCUGGUCCUGAGAUCUCACCAGCAGCCCUGAGCGUUUGUACCUGUUGAUCGUCAGAACGAAGCAGACGCUUACAGGAAACUGCAGGCGCUUGAACUGAAAAGGACAAUUGUUGGGGAUAAGAGGUAUACGUGGUAUAAACACAGUCUCACCUGCAUCAUAUCCUGUUAAUAUCUCUGCCUCAAUUAGGUUCCUCUGCAGAGCAGUCACUACAAGUCCGGUUCCGUUGCAUAACUUGGGCGGAGUCAUAUUCCGCAGAAGUAUGAUCGGAACGCCAACUUUCAGUGCGCUGAGCGUCAAGCGUCUGUUUUUUCAUUUAUUGCUCCCCUCCAACACAUUGAAAUCACACAUACCUUUCUAGGUCACUAAGUUAUACAAUAGUUAAAACGCUAUCCAAAUUCAUCCAAUAGUUUUUGCAUGAUGCCGGAACGAACAGACAAACAAAAAUGUCGUUUUUUUUUUUUUUUCCAUC